rnacentral:rRNA from 1 species
AGCAGCCGCGGUAAUUCCAGCUCCAAUAGCGUAUAUUAAAGUUGUUGCAGUUAAAAAGCUCGUAGUUGAAUUUCGAGAUCAAUUUGCCGGUCGUGCCUCGGUACGUACUGGCAUUAUUGAUUUCUCCCUUCUGAAGAACCGCGAUGUCAUUAAUUUGGUGUCGUGGGAAAUCAGGACUGUUACUUUGAAAAAUUAGAGUGUUUAAAGCAGGCUUACGCUUGAAUACAUUAGCAUGGAAUAAUGAAAUAGGACGUUUGAUUCUAUUUUGUGGUUUCUAGGAUCGACGUAAUGAUUAAUAGGGAUAGUUGGGGCAUUAGUAUUCAAUUGUCAGAGGUGAAAUUCUUGGAUUUAUUGAAGACUAACUACUGC